rnacentral:rRNA from 1 species
GACGAACGCUGGCGGCGUGCUUAACACAUGCAAGUCGAGCGGUAAGGCCCUUUCGGGGGUACACGAGCGGCGAACGGGUGAGUAACACGUGGGUGACCUGCCCUCAGCUCCGGGAGUAAGCCUGGGAAACCGGGUACGUAAUACCGGAUAUGACUCCAUGACGCAUGUUGUGGGGUGGAAAGCCUUGUGCGGCUGAGGAUGGGCCCGCGGCCUAUCAGCUUGUUGGUGGGGUGAUGGCCACC